UACGUAGGUUGCAAGCGUUGUCCGGAAUUACUGGGUGUAAAGGGCGUGUAGGCGGGUAUGCAAGUCAGAUGUGAAAUUCCUCUGCUCAACGGAGGCGCUGCAUCUGAAACUGUAUAUCUUGAGUGCUGGAGAGGAAAGCGGAAUUCCUAGUGUAGCGGUGAAAUGCGUAGAUAUUAGGAGGAACGCCAGUGGCGAAGGCGGCUUUCUGGACAUUAACUGACGCUGAGGCGCGAAAGCGUGGGGAGCAAACAGG
rnacentral:rRNA from 1 species